rnacentral:rRNA from 1 species
UACGUAGGGCGCAAGCGUUAUCCGGAAUUAUUGGGCGUAAAGAGCUCGUAGGCGGUUUGUCGCGUCUGCCGUGAAAGUCCGGGGCUUAACUCCGGAUCUGCGGUGGGUACGGGCAGACUAGAGUGCAGUAGGGGAGACUGGAAUUCCUGGUGUAGCGGUGAAAUGCGCAGAUAUCAGGAGGAACACCGAUGGCGAAGGCAGGUCUCUGGGCAUUAACUGACGCUGAGGAGCGAAAGCAUGGGGAGCGAACAGG